AUUCAAAUUAUUAAAAUACCUCAUGGGGGCCCGGUGUGCAAUGGCUGCAAACAGCAGCCUCCUUGGUAGUGUAUGCAGCCUGUUGCUUGUAUAGGUUGCUCUAACGGACCUUGGAUACAGUA
rnacentral:snoRNA from 1 species